rnacentral:rRNA from 1 species
ACACGAACCGUACAAACGUUAUUCGGAAUCACUGGGCUUAAAGGGUGCGUAGGCGGCUUGGAAAGUUGGGUGUGAAAUCCCUCGGCUCAACCGAGGAAUUGCGCUCAAUACUGCCAGGCUAGAGGGAGACAGAGGUGAGCGGAACUUAGGGUGGAGCGGUGAAAUGCGUUGAUAUCCUAAGGAACACCAGUGGCGAAGGCGGCUCACUGGGUCUCUUCUGACGCUGAGGCACGAAAGCUGGGGGAGCGAACGGGAUUAGAAACCCUAGUAGUCC